rnacentral:rRNA from 1 species
UUGACGGGGCCCGCACAAGCAGCGGAGCGUGUGGUUUAAUCGAUGAUACACGAAGAACCUUACCCAGGCUUGACAUGUUGGUAGUAGGAUCCGAAAGGUCGACCGACCCUUCGGGGAGCCUUCACAGGUGCUGCAUGGCUGUCGUCAGCUCGUGUCGUGAGAUGUCCGGUUAAGUCCCGCAACGAGCGCAACCCCUACUGCCAGUUACUAACAGGUAAUGCUGAGGACUCUGGCGGAACUGCCGGUGACAAACCGGAGGAAGGUGGGAUGACGUCAAGUCCUCAUGGCCCUUAUGUCCAGGGCUACACACGUGCUACAAUGGCCGGUACAGAGUGACGCGAAGCCGCGAGGUGGAGCAAAUCGCAGAAAGCCGGCCUUAGUUCGGAUUGGAGUCUGAAACUCGACUCCAUGAAGGUGGAAUCGCUAGUAAUCGCGCAUCAGCAUGGCGCGGUGAAUACGUUCCCGGGCCUU